rnacentral:rRNA from 1 species
GAUGAACGCUGGCGGCGUGCUUAACACAUGCAAGUCGAACGGAAAGGCUCCUGCUUGCAGGGGUACUCGAGUGGCGAACGGGUGAGUAACACGUGGGUGAUCUGCCCUGCACUUCGGGAUAAGCCUGGGAAACUGGGUCUAAUACCGGAUAGGACGAUGGUUUGGAUGCCAUUGUGGAAAGUUUUUCGGUGUGGGAUGAGCUCGCGGCCUAUCAGCUUGUUGGUGGGGUAAUGGCCUACCAAGGCGUCGACGGGUAGCCGGCCUGAGAGGGUGUACGGCCACAUUGGGACUGAGAUACGGCCCAGACGCCUACGGGAGGCAGCAGUGGGGAAUAUUGCACAAUGGGCGCAAGCCUGAUGCAGCGACGCCGCGUGGGGGAUGACGGCCUUCGGGUUGUAAACUCCUUUCGCUAGGGACGAAGCGGAAGUGACGGUACCUGGAGAAGAAGCACCGGCUAACUACGUG